rnacentral:tRNA from 1 species
GCAUCGGUAGUCCAACGGUUAGGAUAAUUGCCUUCCAAGCAGUAGACCUGUUCGACUCCCGGCUGAUGCA